CCUACGGGAGGCAGCAGUGAGGAAUCUUGGUCAAUGGGCGCGAGCCUGAACCAGCCAAGUCGCGUGAGGGAAGACGGUCCUACGGAUUGUAAACCUCUUUUAUCGGGGAGCAAAAGACGCCACGUGUGGCGCUCCGAGAGUACCCGAAGAAAAAGCAUCGGCUAACUCCGUGCCAGCAGCCGCGGUAAUACGGAGGCUGAGAGCGUUAUCCGGAUUUAUUGGGUUAAAGGGGUGCGCAGGCGGAAGGUCAAGUCAGCGGUAAAAUUGAGAGGCUCAACCUCUUCGAGCCGUUGAAACUGGUUUUCUUGAGUGAGCGAGAAGUAGGCGGAAUGCGUGGUGUAGCGGUGAAAUGCAUAGAUAUCACGCAGAACUCCGAUUGCGAAGGCAGCAUACCGGCGCUCAACUGACGCUGAUGCACGAAAGUGAGGGUAUCGAACAGGAUUAGAUACCCGUGUAGUC
rnacentral:rRNA from 1 species